rnacentral:sRNA from 16 species
GUACUGGCAGGAAGUUUUAUCGUUGUGUUCCUUUGCUGCCUCUAGAAGGAGAGCGACGUCACAGAGGCAGACAGUGC